AAAGUGGAAGUGAAAUCAAGGGCUCAACCCAUUAACGCCUUUCAAACCGUUUUUCUGGAGUAGUGCAGAGGUAGCCGGAUUUCCCGGUGUAGCGGUGAAAUGCGUAGAUAUCGGGGAGGAACACCAAGUGCCGAAGACGGCCUACUGGGCACCAACUGACGCUGAGGCUCGAAAUUGUGGGUAGCAAACAGGAUUAGAUACCCUGGUAGUCCACACCGUAAACGAUGAUUACUAGGUGUUGGAGGAUUGACCCCUUCAGUGCCGCAGUUAACACAAUAAGUAAUCCACCUGGGGAGUACGACCGCAAGGUUGAAACUCAAAGGAAUUGACGGGGGCCCGCACAAGCAGUGGAGUAUGUGGUUUAAUUCGACGCAACGCGAAGAACCUUACCAAGUCUUGACAUCCUGCGACGGACAUAGAAAUAUGUUUUUCCUUCGGGACGCAGAGACAGGUGGUGCAUGGUUGUCGUCAGCUCGUGUCGUGAGAUGUUGGGUUAAGUCCCGCAACGAGCGCAACCCUUACUGUCAGUUACUACGCAAGAGGACUCUGGCAGGACUGCCGUUGACAAAACGGAGGAAGGUGGGGAUGACGUCAAAUCAUCAUGCCCUUUAUGACUUGGGCUACACACGUACUACAAUGGCGUUAAACAAAGAGAAGCAAGACCGCGAGGUGGAGCAAAACUCAGAAACAACGUCCCAGUUCGGACUGCAGGCUGCAACUCGCCUGCACGAAGUCGGAAUUGCUAGUAAUCGUGGAUCAGCAUGCCACGGUGAAUACGUUCCCGGGCCUUGUACACACCGCCCGUCACACCAUGAGAGCCGGGGGGACCCGAAGUCGGUAGUCUAACCGCAAGGAGGACGCCGCCGAAGGUAAAACUGGUGAUUGGGGUGAAGUCGUAACAAGGUAGCCGUAGGAGAACCUGCGGCUG
rnacentral:rRNA from 1 species